UCCAGAGGGAGGUGGAGAGGGAGGUGGUGCGACGAAAGACUCUGGCCUCAAAAUUAAGAACUCUGCUGGAAAGUCAGCUACAGGUUCUGAGGGAAGAGCAACGAGCCCAGCAGAGAGUCCACGGUGUGUUUACGGCUCAUCUCAGAGAGUGCAACAGAUUACUGUCCAGGAUUUAUAACACCAACCAGUCAUUUUGUGAAGCACACCAGCAAAAUGUGUUACAGAGGAUAACAUCCCUGGUGGAUGAGAUGGGAGAGCUUCUAUCAGGAGCGUGUCAGCGUCAGGGCGCCUGGGAAUUAUUGGGUGAGGGAACAGGAGCC